rnacentral:rRNA from 1 species
AUGCAUGAAAUAGAUAGAAUCAGAUAUGAUUAUUUGAACCAAAAAAUUUGGCAAAGUGAUGUGUUAUGUAAAAACAUGCUAAGGUUUGAAAGAGCUGCCUUCUUUCGCUUGUGUGGCAUAUUGAGGGAUCGGAAGUUGCUAGAAGACAGUGCACAUCUUAGUGUGGAGCAACAAUUGGCGAUGUUUUUGCAUACAAUUGGGCAUAACCUUCGGAACAGGGUUAUUUCGGCCAAUUUUUGUAGAUCAUAUGGCACAACCAGCGUAUACUUUAGAAAGGCUCUUCAUGCCAUAGGCGAGCUCCAUAAUGAUUAUAUAAGGCCACCAUCAUUGGAGACCCCCUCAAAAAUUGCAGGAAAUCAUUGUUUCGACCCAUAUUUUAAGGAUUGUAUUGGAGCUAUCGAUGGUACACAUGUGCGGGCAGGUGUUACCAAAGACGUGGAGCAUUCUUUUCGUGGUAGGAAGGCCUAUACCACUCAAAAUGUGAUGGCGGCAGUAGAUUUUGACCUCCGCUUCACAUAUGUGUUGGCUGGUUGGGAAGGGUCCGCACACGACGCAACCGUUUUAGUUGAUGCAUUAUCUCGUGAGAGAGGCUUACAAGUACCACCGGGGAAGUACUACCUAGUUGAUGCCGGUUAUGGAGCGAAGCCUGGUUUCUUACCACCUUUCCGUGGUGUGAGGUACCAUUUGAAUGAGCGGGGUAACAAUCCGGUCCAAAAUGAUAAGGAGCUAUUCAACCUUAGGCACUCAUCUCUACGGGUGACGGUAGAGAGGGCUUUUGGAUCUCUCAAGAGGCGUUUCAAAAUUUUAGAUGAUGCCAAACCAUUCUUUACUUUCCCAGUCCAAGUUGACAUUGUUAUAGCUUGUUGUGUUUUUCAUAAUUAUGCACUAUCAUAA